rnacentral:misc_RNA from 1 species
CUUUAUCAACUACAUCUCUGUCUCUCCCAUGCUACGGAAUCUAUUUGGUUUAUAUGUCAUUGACUCAUUGUUGAUGAAUAGGUAGCUGAUAAAGUUAGUUUGGUUAGAGCUAUAGCAUUUACAUUUGAUAUUGUUGUUCAUUAUUUCUUAUCUUUUUCAAUGGUGAUAUGUAUUGGUUCUUGCCCUUUUUCACCCCAUUUCUGUUAAAUAUCAUGUUUCUACUACUUUAGAUUUUGUUGAUUCUGUUAUCUUGUGUAUGAUUGCUUUCCUUUGUACUUUGGUUCCAUUCUAGUGCUCUUCAGAGAAUUUCUAUCUCAAUCAUAGAAUUUAAUUUUCAUUUUUUAUCUCCUUAUUUUCAUUUUAUGACUUUUAAUGCUGUUUAUGUGGCUCAGGAGGGGAGCAAUUGUCACUA